rnacentral:rRNA from 1 species
UGGGGAAUAUUGGACAAUGGGCGCAAGCCUGAUCCAGCCAUGCCGCGUGAGUGAUGAAGGCCCUAGGGUUGUAAAGCUCUUUCACCGGUGAAGAUAAUGACGGUAACCGGAGAAGAAGCCCCGGCUAACUUCGUGCCAGCAGCCGCGGUAAUACGAAGGGGGCUAGCGUUGUUCGGAUUUACUGGGCGUAAAGCGCACGUAGGCGGACUAUUAAGUCAGGGGUGAAAUCCCGGGGCUCAACCCCGGAACUGCCUUUGAUACUGGUAGUCUUGAGUUCGAAAGAGGUGGGUGGAGUUCCGAGUGUAGAGGUGAAUUUCGUAGAUAUUCGGAGGAACACCAGUGGCGAAGGCGGCUCACUGGCUCGAUACUGACGCUGAGGUGCGAAAGCGUGGGGAGCAAACAGG